rnacentral:rRNA from 1 species
UGCGUAGGUGGAAUGAAAAGUCUUGGUUUAAAGGCUAUGGCUUACCCAUAGUAUUGGUCAAGAUACUCUCAUUCUUGAGGAUUGAUAGGGGUGCCGGAACAGCCGGUGUAGCAGUGAAAUGCGUUGAUAUCGGCUGGAACACCGAUGGCGAAAGCAGGCACCUGGGUUUAUCCUGACGCUGAGGCACGAAAGCUAAGGGAGCGAAACAGAUUAGAGACCUGUGUAGUCUUAGCAGUAAACUAUGUCCGCUAGCUGUGCCUGCAAGGGCGCGGCGUAAGCUAACGCGUUAAGCGGACCGCCUGGGGAGUACGGCCGCAAGGCUAAA